AAAAAAAAAAAAAAACAACUUGCAAUAAGAUAACCAAGGAAAGAUACUGGUUCUCACUAAGCCAAGUCAAAUACAUCUUUAUGUAACAUCUAUACUUCAAAUAAAAAAGGAAAUUGGACUCAAAAAUCAAAAUUCACACUAAAAUCUCAGAAUUAUCAAAGCCACACUCACUCUCACAAUAGAUUACAACAAAUACCUGACAUUAGGAAGAUUGAAAGUAUUCAAAUAUAUAUAAAAUUAGCAAAAGAAUAAUUUCUACAUCCAUAGCAAAAGCACACCAUAAGCAUUUUCAUGAAAAUAACUGCAUCCAUUAGAAAGCAAGUUAAUGAACACUCCUUUCAAGCGAAGGGAGUUUGCUGUUCUCCCCAGUAUAUUGCUUUCACUUAUGAAAACUUAGUGACGAAUAGAACCUCCAACCAAGCCACCCAAGCAAAGAUACAAUAAUAAUUGCAAACAACUCACAAGCAGACCUGUGACCUCUAUGGAGAUUAAUAGUAAACCUUAACUGCUAAAACCAUAUCAUAAUGACCAUUAACUUAGUUGAACUAGAGCAGUCUCUAGGGCUGUAAGAUCUCAAGUUCGAGUCUAAGUCGGAGCCAAAUGAACCCAAAAAGAGACACAUCAGUAUGAGAGAUUGAGAAUUAUACCU
rnacentral:misc_RNA from 1 species